rnacentral:rRNA from 1 species
UACGAAGGGGGCUAGCGUUGCUCGGAAUCACUGGGCGUAAAGCGCACGUAGGCGGAUCUUUAAGUCAGGGGUGAAAUCCCAAGGCUCAACCUUGGAACUGCCUUUGAUACUGGGGAUCUCGAGUCCGGAAGAGGUUGGUGGAACUGCGAGUGUAGAGGUGAAAUUCGUAGAUAUUCGGAAGAACACCAGUGGCGAAGGCGGCUUACUGGUCCGGUACUGACGCUGAGACACGAAAGCCAGGGGAGCAAACGGG